AUUACGGAACGAAGCGGACGCGUCGCUCCUCGAAUACAAUAUUUUAUUUCGUUUGAUGUUUAAAAUUAAUUACAUCGAUACCGUGUAAAUAAAAAAUUUAACGUGGAUAAAAAACCCGCGUCGACACGAUCUUAAAAAAUUUUGUUUCAUACAUAAAAAAAUAUUUUAAACGUAACGUACGAUACGAAUUCGCGUUGAUCGAAGGAGUUAAUCGAUCCUUUUUUUUUUAGGAAUCGGCAUCAUCGGUGGAAAUAUCGAAAUGGAGCGUGUCUUGGGAAAAAAUGCUAAACGUCGGAAAAUAUUAUACCGUCCUAAUUAGCAUUUUAUAACCGAGUGGCGGGGGCCCCUUCACAUCCCACAAAAGAAGCGGAAACCUUUCCCUAUCGUGGGGCGCGCCGGGUGCACCGGUCGUCAAUUAAACACGAAAACUACUCUAACGCGAAUUACAAAUGCAAAAACGUUCUUCUAUCUUAAAUACCGUGAAAUUCGGCCCUUGAACGCGACACAAGUGCGCGACCUCGUACUGAACAACCGUAAUACGCGUUUAAUAUUCAGCUGAAUUUUAGGUAAACUUAAUGCGCGCUUAAUAUUCGCCCCCAUCUGUCCGCCGUAGGAGAAAACGUAAAAAGAAAUUUGCCGCGCGAAUUGCGUACGACGAUGAUUUCAUUUAGACACGAAAUAAAGGAAGGAAAAUUUGGAGGAAUCUUUUCGAUUUAAAAAUCGAUCUCUGUGAAGGAUUACUUCUUUCUCUUUUCUGUAAUAAAAAUUAUUACCAUUUCGAUCGAAAACACUGUAGUCCAAGUUAGAAAGGAUAAGAAAAUAUUAUCAGAAAUCACAACGAAAAGAAAUAGUGAUAAAGAUUACUACUUUCAGUGAUAUUCGUCGUAUAGGUUGUAUUUGAGCGAUAGAAAAUAUUAUUAUCGAAGCUUAGAAUUAUUAUCGUGGAUAGAUGAUGCACACGAAGAUCUUCUUGCAAAGCCCCCUCCUCAUCCAGUAGAUCAAUCAUGACUAACUUUAUUAAAUUUUCAUCGGCACCGUGUAUAUCCCUUCAUCUCAUUUUCCACGCUUUGUACACGAUACGUGUACCGCUCCCCCUCUCGUGUUUAUCAAUUUUGAGCCUCGUAGAGUUCACUUCUCCAGAAUUAAUUUAACCCAUUAAGUAGAUACUAAACCUUUAAGACGCGCACAUGCAUCCCGUGAAUGUCGUUGAUGUGGAUUAUAGACGCGCCAUAUGUGCCUAGCAAAGCCUUGAUCUGGCGUAAACCAUAGCGUAAACCCGUUUAACUUGCCUCCCUCCUCGUUCUUGUCUUUCAUAAAAAAAGAAUUUCUACUUAUCGAAUCAUCGAUUGUUAUCCAAAUACGACGUAGAUAAUAAAUAGAUCCGUUUGUAUUCAUCCACUGAAAAAAAAAUUUCUUCUGAAAAGAAUUCUCUUCAAUUUUCCCUCGAUUUCUACUCGGCUAUUCAGAGGAGGAGGAGGAGGAACGUUGACGAGGCAACACGAAGCCAUAAGCUCGUUUCUAAGUUAGGGCAUUUGUAGUUGGCGCGAUCCUCGAUCCUCGUCUCGUUCUCUCGAACUCCGUGAAUCCGUGAAGUUUCGCGAAAUGUGCAAAUUUAUUUACACACCGGUAAAAUGCGACCCUCCUCCUCCUCCCCCUCCUCCUCCCUGCUUCUAUGUAAAUGGUUGACGCAUUAGGGGAGCGUGCCACUUUUAACAAUAUAUUAAUAUUAAUGGGGGAGCGUUUACGAAAAGGGGAGGGAGGCGCCAACUAUUUUCCCCUCUCUCCCUUGUCCGGGACGCGAAUUGUAAUUGCGCCCGUUAUUAAUAUUCAUUCCGAGAUUACCGGCUACCAACUUUCACGCGCGACUUUGAGCAUCCACCGAAUUUCCGGAAGGAAAGCCGUUUCUUAUCGUUUUCGAAACCGAGUCUCUCUCGGUUUUUCUCCAUGGUGGAGGAGAGUGUACUUAUUUUGUUAAUUUCUCUGUAAUUUGUAACGUGAAUAGUUUCGUUUAGUGUUUCGGAAAGGAAAGGAGAGAAUUGUUUUUUCGUUGUUAGUUUUUUAAAUAAUGGUAUUUUUAAAUAAAGGGAGGAGAGAGGUGCGUAAUGAUAGUGUAUGUAGAAUAGCGAGAGAGUGAAUUGUUUAAACAAUUAAUUCGUUGAAACGAUAAAAUAAAUCUGUUCCCAGGUUGAAACGAGCGCGAAAUAUUGCGGAAUGAAUAUAAUGGGCCGCAUUCUCGAUAAUUUACCAGCAGUUUGAAACUUCAUUAGCAUAAUCUUCUUACGAUUUAAUGCAUUUCUUAUGUUCGAGGCAAGUUAUUAACGAGACUAUAAUAUUAUCGCGACCGACGUAAAAAUCUAAGACAGUUCCUCUGUUAUUGCGUAAGAAAAAAAGGAAAAAAGAAGCAAUGAGAAGAUUUAUACCCGCGUGAAUAUUUUUCAUUUCAAGAUUCCACCCGUUCGAAAUUCCACCCGUAAAAAUACAUAUUUCCCUUUACAUUCUUCCUAAAUUAUCUCAAAUAUGUACUAUAUAAAGGGGCAAGUCUUUUCAAGAUUUUAAUAAGGCGCCCUUUGUCACGGCCUUCUUAGAAGGGAAAAAUUUAAUUAUAAUUAAAAAAAAAACAAAAAACGAGAGAUAGAAAUCAACAUUUCAACUAGUGUCUCAAAUUUUACAACCCCACAUCUUUACAAAAUCGCGAAAAACUUGCAGAAGAAAAUAACUCAGAAAAGACUCAACGAAUUAAUAUUUCAUAAUGCAAAGAAUCAAGAUUCUUUGUUCAAAAUCUAUAUAUAUAUUUUUUCGACCGAUUCUUCUUGUUGAAACCUCGACGUUGAUAAACUUUGCGCGAAAACUUAUUACACACACACACACACACACACACACACACGCGCGCGCGCGCGCAAAGUCCCUGCUACGCGGUAUCCAAAGUUUCUCACAUAAAUUAACGAGCUUCCCCGCAGCAGCCCACUUUUUUCUCCACUUGCAAACGAGCAAACUACUCGGCGCGGCCAUCUUCGUCGAGCCACCUUUGACCUUCGCCGGCAUAACGCGACGCCGGCUUCCUUUUCCGAUUAAGCCCCGGCCAAAACUUUGGAGCGGCCGCCCACGCGCGAUCUUGUUAACGGUAAUGACGAAAAUGAUCCUUGACGAAAAUCGAGAAUUUUAAUUGGGGAGGGAGGGGGAGAGUUGAAAUUUCACCGCGGUCGGAAACAAAAGAUUCGGUCGGGGAACAAAAAGCCGGGCGAUCAACCCGUUUUGGGGGGAUUGUAAUUAAUAUUAAUUAAUAACGGAAAUUUAAUCCGAAACCCGCCGCUUUUACACCGUGUAUCCCGCCUUAAUUACCAGCCAAACAAAUGCGAAUUAAAAUUGAUAUGUCGGUAAAUUAACAGCGUCCCUUUGCGGAUGAUCGAAUGGAUGAUCCGUUUCGAUGGAAUAACGGGAUAAUCGAUACUCUUUUAGAACAUUGGAUCAGGCAAGUGCGAAAUGUAGCGUGAAAAUUUAACAAGUGUAAUUCAACGGCGGAUAACCCACCCGCGGUUAAACCGAAAAUGAAAUAUCCGUGCAAUUAUCCGUGGAAAAACUUUCUUCUUUUGGAGUUUUUAGAGAAAUAAAUUCAGUAUUCAAAAGUUAUCUUUUUUAUCCACUGAUAAAAUAACGAUUGAAGCUUUCUGGUAGAAGAUUUUUAUCGAAAUAUCAUCGGUAUCGUAUAUUUCUUCGAUAAUAGCUUCCUUUUUCUGAAAAUAUCCACCCCCUCCCUUCCAAUUAAAUUAUACAGAUCCUUUCCACUAUCACCCCCUCUCCAAGGGACACGUGCAAUUACGCAAUUCCUCUUAGAGGAAAGGAGGGGGGGAUUAAUUACAACGUUUUAAUUCUACGCCGCGACAGAGGCGAGCUUCGAUCGUGCGAACCAUCCAUUCUUCUCGGUCGAGAAAAAGGAGGAAAAGAAAAACGUAUCCGCGAUGGCUGUACCCAGGGUAAACACUAGAGGGUGGGAAAAAAAAAAAAAUGGGGGGAAAAAAAUAGCCGCGGAAGGGCAACGCGAUUCGUCGAAGCGAAUCCCCGCGCGAUUUAACGACGCCUACGCUUCUCUCGUAACGCGUUUCCGGUAUUUAUUUAUGCGCGGGACGAUAAUAAACACGCGAGAAUAAUUCUUUCUCACGAGGAAGAAUUUUUAGCCUUUAAUCUAGGAUCGUCCUCCUCGCGAGAAGGAUCGACCUCAUCUACCUUCAUCUUCAUCUUCUUCUUCUUUUUUUUUUUCUCUUCUGCGGGACGACCUCCCUUUUUUUUUUUUUUUACGACAGCCCGAAUAACAAUUCGCUCGGUAAUUAAGCGAAAAUGAAUUUUUCAUAUUGGCUAAUGAGAAUAAAUUUUUAAUGGCGAAGGGCGGCCGAAUAACAACUUCUUUUCUCACGAUUAUGCAGCUGAAAAGAUGGAUUUUUAAAUAUCAUAGGGGGGCGAACGAGGUUAUUAAAAGGAAUUUUUAAUCAAUCUUUAUAUUCACCGACGAAAAUUCCCUUAUGCAAAUAUAAAAUGUUUCUUCGAAUUCCCUCCAAUUCUUUGUUGUCGAGAAAGAAUUUUUUUUCUUGUGCGUAAUUAUUUAACUUUUUCCUUUUUUAAGAAGCGUUAAACAGAACCUCUUUCCCCAAAAAAUCCUAUUCUUUCGAUACUAAUACUUGCUCAAAAAUCACAAAAUAAUCCAUAUAACUCCUUUUCAAAAAAUCAUUUCAGGGAUCCUCGUCAGGGAUUGGAAAUCUUUCUCGCGGCGAGAGAAGAAGGGGAGGAUGCCUCCAACUUAUCGCGUCCCACGAGCAGAGGCGAGGAGGAACUUUACCACGGAAGAAAACGCGAUAAUUGCGCCCGGCCAAUUUCGCCCGCGAGAACACGACAGGUGGAGAGGAAAUACCGUGGAUUCCGAUUAAUUUCCUAAAACUGAGGCAAAGUGUGAACCAAGUGGGGAGGGGAGGAAUUCUGGCCACGCCAAUAGGUCAAACCCUCCGCCUCGAGCAUCCACCCACGAAACAAAGUCAUUCUUUAAAACUCGUUGCAUCAGCUUCAACCCCGAUCCAUCCGUUACAAUGGCGUGUAACGGCCUCCUACACACCCUUCCAUCGUGCAAAGAGAGAGAGAAACAGCCGUGCAAACAGACAUUCCAAUUCCAAUUCUCCUCUUGGAAACGCUUUUUUCCCGCCCCCUGUUUACCGGACUCCGUAACGAACCAACUCUGUCUCCGGGAGAACCAUCGUCAAAAACCUGUUUGCUCUCGAUUUCCACCCUCCUCUCCUGUUGUCCACGGAGGCCAAGGAACGUAUCGAGCAGGAAACAGCCAAGAUGACAAUCGGCCGAAUUCACAAUCGAGUGCUCUUUCGCAGGUUGGCUAAUUUCGAUGGAAGUAAAUUUCUCUCUGAAAGAUCAUAUAAAGAAUGGAUCGAUAUAUACAUUGUAUUUUUAUUUAUAUUCGUGUCAGAUCAAGUUCUAGCAGAUUAAGCUUCACGCUGGAUCAAGCUUCGUGCGCCUCGGAUCAUCUCACACCACCCAGGCCAAAACUUCUUCCCAAAGAGACACUUUCCUCCCCCCCUGUCUUGACAAUACCACACGUACUAUCAAAGUUAUCUCAACUGCUCCCCUGCUCCUCCAACCCUUUCUAUCCUCCAUCGUUACUCAAGACAUUUUCCAACUAUACUAGAAUAAGGGUGGAGAAUCCGUAUUCUUCGUCAGCUGAAGUAAAAUUACGUAAAUUCGAUAGAGAGGCAGGAAACAAUUUCGCGCGUUUCGAGGAUGGAAUAUUAAAUCGGCGAGAACGGCAGUUGUCAACAUCGUACGAACGAUUAUCGUGAUUCUGGAGAAGAUUGGAUCUUUCCAACGUGCGAAGGAAUUUGACUACAAGAAACAAGGAAAAAUUAAGGAAAGGAUCAACAAAGUAUCGAUUAAUUUUCGAGAACGAUUCGCAUCGGGACAAAGUCGUGUAACGCGUUCAAGCGUCAAACUCGAGAAAGAAGGAAUCUAUCAAUACGUUAACCCAGUUGUUCGAAGCAAGUAUCGAAAAAGCAAUCGGUGCACAAGUUUCGAAUUCAAUUUGUCCAAGAAUCCAAUCGAGCGACUCUUCAUCCUACGAAAUUUGUUUUCUCUGUUAAAUAACGAGGAAAAAUGCACGGCUAUCGAAAGAUUUGCAAAGUAUCUCUCUAUAAUCUUAUAAAAUCUUCCAUUCUUCUCGAAUCGAAGAAUAAUUUAUUAUACGA